AUUAUAUUAACUUAAAUUUAAUGAUUUGAAGUUAUAGAUUAUAUCUGGUAUAUUUUCAUUUUGAUGUUUUUAUGUUUAAAUAUAAAAGUAUGAAGAUCAGUGGUUAAAUGAUGAUUUAUUUUAUGUUAUAUAGAUUAUAUUUUCUUAAUUAAAUUAUAACAUAAUUAAAAUCAAUUCCCUCUGUAUAAGUUGAUGACAAAAAAAAAAAUCAAUUCAAUUAAACUGUACCAAACACAAAUCAAAAUGGAUUCAAAUCAAGCCAAAUCAAUCAUAAGUUAAAUCAAUUUUGGUUUACUGAAAGUUAAAAAUGAUCAGAACAGACUAAAUUAGACCGCAUCAAAUUUGAAUUCAAUCCGAAUGCCUACUAAUAUAUUUACUGUUUUUUGUCAACCCUACUAAUAUAUUUACUAACCAUUCGGUCACAAUUUCUUAGCGCUUAGAGCACCAUUAUCGCCGUGCCUUAAGGCGUUUCUUAAGGUAUUUUGGGUUUAAAAAAAAUAAAAAAUACAUAAUUAUAGAAGAACUGUGUUUUAAUUAGGGUCAGGAAGAGGCGUUUCUUGUUGACACGCGUAGGCGUUUGAGAGGUAGGAGUGUUCCUUCUUCGUUGUUUAUCUCUCUCUCUCUCUCUCUCUCGCGAAAGUUCUCUCCUGGUUGGAACCUCCAAUCCGAAGAUGGCACGAAGAGACGAGAUGAAGCUGCGGAGGAGACGAGAAGCUGCAGAGGAGAGAUGAGAUGAAGCUGCGGAGGAGAGAGCUUCUGGUAGUGAAAGCGGGUUGGAUUGUAUCGAUGGUGAUCCUGUUAAAGGUAAUCACUUUUGCACUCUGCAUCAAGCAAUCCCCUUUCUCAUCAAGCAAUCCCCUUUCUCUCUCUCUCUCUCUCAUCAACUCAGAGGAGGCAACGACCGUGUACUCAGAGGACGCAGGUGUAUUGAAAUGGAAGAAGAAGCGCAUGAGGAGACUGAAGAGGAAGCACAGGAAGAUGAGACAGUGAUCCAAGUAGUCUGUGUCUCCAUGCCUAUCCAUAAAUCUCUGAACCUUUAUGUUUUGUGCCAUUACAUUUAUGUUGAAAUAAUCGUUUGUAGAACAUGGUUUGAUCACUCCCAAUCACUGAUUAAAUGGCCGAACCAGCAUAAAAAUGGUUUGGAUCAGGCAGACACUUGAAACUAGUUUCAAUUCUUGUCUGAAUCAUAUCUUAGUUAGUUUUUGGAUGUUAAGUGAUGUAAUGAAAUCAAUUAUAGUUUAUAAUUAUUGAUUGUGUUUACAUCUGUACGUCCAAACCUUAACAACUUGUGUUGGAACAGGACAAAAAUGGCAGAACCAGCGUACACAGUAGCAUCAGACAGCAAGAACACAUGAGAAAAGAUGCUAUGGCUGGACUUCACGUCCUUAGGUUAAUGCCCGAGCCGACAGCUGUUGCACUACUGUAUGCGCAGCAGUAGCAGAUGACUAGUCAUGACAGCAUGGGGAGCGGAAGCGAGAGGCUUGCGGUUAUAUUCAACAUGGGUGCUGGUUACUGCAACGUUCUUUGUAUAGCCUCUCCAAUCUCUUGUAUUUUUGUGUCUAUAGACUUGUGUUAAAGUUUCUAUAUAACUUUACAACACUCUUGUUUUCUCUUUAACAUAACUUCAAAGUCCAUAUAAAAUUUCAUAA